rnacentral:rRNA from 1 species
AGUGAACGCUGGCGGCGUGCCUAAUACAUGCAAGUCGAACGGAGUGGCGCAAGGGUGAGUAAUGUAUAGCUAAUCUGCCCUACACUAGAGGAAACCAGUUGGGAACGGCUGCUAAUACUCUAUAGUGUAGGUUGAGGCUAUAUUGUAUCAGCUAGUUGGUGAGGUAAUGGCUCACCAAGGCUAUGAUGCAUAACUGGUCUGAGAGGAUGAGGCGUCACACUGGAACUGAGACACGGUCCAGACUCCUACGGGAAGCGGCAAUAGUGAAUACUGCUCAAUGGGGGUAACCCUGAAGCGGCAACGCCGCGUGGAGGAUGACCCUUGGCGGAGCGUAAGCUCCUGUUGUUAUGGAAGCGGUACCGAACGAAUAAGCACCGGCUAACUCCGUGCCAGCAGCCGCGGUAAUAC